UGAAGCGGCGGAGACGCCGUGGCCGAGAGGAGCCCGGACAGGUGGUGCAUGGCUGUCGUCAGCUCGUGCCGUGAGGUGUUGGGUUAAGUCCCGCAACGAGCGCAACCCCCGUCGCGUGUUGCCAGCAAUUCGGUUGGGCACUCGCGCGAGACUGCCGGCGUCAAGCCGGAGGAAGGUGGGGACGACGUCAAGUCAUCAUGCCCCUUAUGCCCUGGGCUGCACACGUGCUACAAUGGCCGGCACAACGGGUUGCGACCCCGCGAGGGGGAGCGGAUCCCUCAAAGCCGGCCCCAGUUCGGACCGCAGGCUGCAACCCGCCUGCGCGAAGCCGGAGUUGCUAGUAAUCGCGGAUCAGCACGCCGCGGUGAAUACGUUCCCGGGCCUUGUACACACCGCCCGUCACACCACCCGAGUCGUCUGCACCCGAAGCCGCCGGCCGAACCCUUCUAGGGGCGGAGGCGUCGAAGGUGUGGAGGGUGAGGGGGGUGAAGUCGUAACAAGGUAGCCGUACCGGAAGGUGCGGCUGGAUCACCUCCUUUCUAGGGAGA
rnacentral:rRNA from 1 species